rnacentral:rRNA from 1 species
UACGUAGGUGGCAAGCGUUGUCCGGAUUUACUGGGCGUAAGGAGCGCGCAGGCGGUCGAAUAAGUCGAAUGUGAAAGCCCCCGGCUUAACUGGGGAGGGUCAUUCGAUACUGCUCGACUUGAAGGCAGGAGAGGGUAGUGGAAUUCCCGGUGUAGUGGUGAAAUGCGUAGAUAUCGGGAGGAACACCAGUGGCGAAGGCGACUACCUGGCCUGUUCUUGACGCUGAGGCGCGAAAGCUGGGGGAGCAAACGGG